rnacentral:lncRNA from 10 species
ACCAGACUCGUCGAUAGAGAACCUGAGGAGGAGGGAGAGAGGUAAGCCUGAUUGCAAGCUUCAUUGUACCUGUUUCUUUCUGACUCAGAUUCCAGCUCAGCUUACAUUUUUCCCACUAAGUAGGCAGUGAUAUUUCAUCACAGCAGGCCCCAGCUCAGUACAAACAACAUAGUAGGUCCUCAAAAGAUUCAAAAGGAAUAAAAGACAGGAGUGGAGAAAGGAAGGAACAAAAGAA